UACGGAGGAUCCAAGCGUUAUCCGGAAUCAUUGGGUUUAAAGGGUCCGUAGGCGGGUUUGUAAGCCAGAUGUGAAAUCCCCGGGCUCAACCUGGGAAUGGCAUUUGGAACUGCAAGACUAGAGUAUGGCAGAGGAGACUAGAAUUUCUGGUGUAGCAGUGAAAUGCGUAGAUAUCAGAAGGAAUACCGAUGGCGAAGGCAGGUCUCUGGGUUAAUACUGACGCUCAUGCACGAAAGCGUGGGGAGCAAACAGG
rnacentral:rRNA from 1 species